rnacentral:rRNA from 1 species
CCUACGGGUGGCUGCAGUGAGGAAUAUUGGUCAAUGGACGAGAGUCUGAACCAGCCAAGUAGCGUGAAGGAUGACUGCCCUAUGGGUUGUAAACUUCUUUUAUCAGGGAAUAAAACAGGGUAUGCAUACCCUCUUGUGUGUACCAUAUGAAAAAGGAUCGGCUAACUCCGUGCCAGCAGCCGCGGUAAUACGGGGGAUCCGAGCGUUAUCCGGAUUUAUUGGGUUUAAAGGGAGCGUAAGUGGAUUGUUAAGUCAGUGGCGAAAGUUCGCGGCUCAACCGUAAAAUUGGGGUUGAAACUGGCAGUCUCGAGUACAGGAGAGGUGGGCGGAAUUCGUGGUGUAGCGGUGAAAUGCUUAGAUAUCACGCAGAACUCCGAUUGCGAAGGCAGCUCACUGGACUGCAACUGACACUGAUGCUCGAAAGUGUGGGUAUCAAACAGGAUUAGAUACCCGGGUAGUC